CCUACGGGAGGCAGCAGUGGGGAAUAUUGCGCAAUGGGCGAAAGCCUGACGCAGCGACGCCGCGUGAGGGAUGAAGGUCUUCGGAUCGUAAACCUCUGUCAGCAGGGAAGAACGGUCACUGUGCUAAUCAGCAGUGAAUUGACGGUACCUGCAAAGGAAGCACCGGCUAACUCCGUGCCAGCAGCCGCGGUAAUCCGGAGGGUGCGAGCGUUAAUCGGAAUUACGGGGCGUAAAGCGCUCGUAGGCGGUAUGUCAAGUCAAGGGUGAAAUCCCCGCGCGCAACGUGGGAACUGCUUUUGAAUGUGGCAAACUGGAGUGUGUGAGAGGAUAGUGGAAUUCCAGGUGUAGGAGUGAAUCCCGUAGAUAUCUGGAGGAAAAUCAGUGGCGAAGGCGACUACCGGGCACAUAACGGACGCUGAGAGCGAAAGCGUGGGUAGCAAACAGGAUUAGAUACCCGGGUAGUC
rnacentral:rRNA from 1 species